UGCCUGGCCACCCACUAGGAGGGGACUACAGUGCCUGGCCACCCACUAGGAGGAGACUACAGUGCCUGGCCACCCACUAGGAGGUGACUACAGUGCCUGGCCACCCACUAGGAGGGGACUACAGUGCCUGGCCACCCACUAGGAGUUGACUACAGUGCCUGGCCACCCACUAGGAGGGGACUACAGUGCGUGGCCACCCACUAGGAGGUGACUACAGUGCCUGGCCACCCACUAGGAGGGGACUACAGUGCCUGGCCACCCACUAGGAGGGGACUACAGUGCCUGGCCACCCACUAGGAGGUGACUACAGUGCCUGGCCACCCACUAGGAGGGGACUACAGUGCCUGGCCACCCACUAGGAGGUGACUACAGUGCCUGGCCACCCACUAGGAGGUGACUACAGUGCCUGGCCACCCACUAGGAGGGGACUACAGUGCCUGGCCACCCACUAGGAGGGGACUACAGUGCCUGGCCACCCACUAGGAGGUGACUACAGUGCCUGGCCACCCACUAGGAGGGGACUACAGUGCCUGGCCACCCACUAGGAGGGGACUACAGUGCCUGGCCACCCACUAGGAGGGGACUACAGUGCCUGGCCACCCACUAGGAGGGGACUACAGUGCCUGGCCACCCACUAGGAGGGGACUACAGUGCCUGGCCACCCACUAGGAGGGGACUACAGUGCCUGGCCACCCACUAGGAGGGGACUACAGUGCCUGGCCACCCACUAGGAGGGGACUACAGUGCCUGGCCACCCACUAGGAGGGGACUACAGUGCCUGGCCACCCACUAGGAGGUGACUACAGUGCCUGGCCACCCACUAGGAGGUGACUACAGUGCCUGGCCACCCACUAGGAGGGGACUACAGUGCCUGGCCACCCACUAGGAGGGGACUACAGUGCCUGGCCACCCACUCGGAGGGGACUACAGUGCCUGGCCACCCACUAGGAGGCAGCAUUUUGUGUUUGUGCAGAAGGGAAUAGACAAACGUUGUUUUUCUUUUUUGAAUUUAUUAGUGCCACAUUCCAUCGAAUGUUGAAACUGCAAAUCUUAACAUGAUUUACAAACACACAGGCUUGAACUGGGUGAAAACAUACACAAGCUGUGUUUUUCUACUAUAAUAAUUGUGCCAUAGAUACUGUUAUUGUGUGUUUUUAUUUAGAGAUUUAGUUGUAUUCAGUCAUGAAAUGUUUAUUAAGAUUACAACCAACCUUCGUCUUAAGCGUUGUAAUUAAUUCCCCAUGUUUUCUAUCCGUUGGACAGUGAAGGACCAGCUACCACCUGACACAUUAGAUUGACCUCAUUGUUUUUCACAGACAGGUGGCUCAGCAUCGUAACUCGCCUGUUUAUAGACUACAGUAGUGUAGCUAUAAUAUAGAUAAUAACCCUCUGUGAUUGGACUGACCUGUGUGUGCUAGAUUUUGGAGGGGCACAUUUAAAGGCCUGACAUUACGCACAACGAUACCCCUCCAAAGGACAGACAGACAAAUGGACGGAUGGUUGGGCACAGGGGCAGGCCGGGCCUCGGCCCCAGGUUAUUCUGGCCUCUGACUUAUCCCCUAACAUUUAACCUGGUGGCCCAUGUUUCCCUCUAACAUCGCUGAGGAAGGCCUGCCUUUUGUUAGUUUGGCUUCAGUUGGUUCAGUUGGACGUGGUUGAUGCUGACACUCCUGAAAAGCGCUUUUUGAGCUGGUUUAGGCAGGUCAUCUGAGUAAAAACCAAUCUGACCGGCUAUGUACAGUUCAGUACCCACACAGAACCUUAGAAACCACACCAGCUUUCUGAAUACGCGCAAUACAGCAAUGAUCAUGAGGUCCAGUGUAGACCGACUCUAAAGCUCAGAUUUUCUGCUAAAUGGCAUAUAUAGAUUUUGACAGGAUCACUACAGAUCACUGGCUGUCAGACAUGUACAAGAAGUGUGUAUAGAAGUCUUCAGCUGACUGUUUGCCCAUGGAAACAUUAAAAAUAACUUUUGAAUGUUCAGUUGUGUAGGUACACACAGACAGGAAUGAUCAGUUGUGUAGGUACACACAGACAGGAAUGAUCAGUUGUGUAGGUACACACAGACAGGAAUGAUCAGUUGUGUAGGUACACACAGACAGGAAUGAUCAGUUGUGUAGGUACACACAGACAGGAAUGUUCAGUUGUGUAGGUACACACAGACAGGAAUGUUCAGUUGUGUAGGUACACACAGACAGGAAUGAUCAGUUGUGUAGGUACACACAGACAGGAAUGAUCAGUUGUGUAGGUACACACAGACAGGAAUGAUCAGUUGUGUAGGUACACACAGACAGGAAUGAUCAGUUGUGUAGGUACACACAGACAGGAAUGUUCAGUUGUGUAGGUACACACAGACAGGAAUGUUCAGUUGUGUAGGUACACACAGACAGGAAUGAUCAGUUGUGUAGGUACACACAGACAGGAAUGAUCAGUUGUGUAGGUACACACAGACAGGAAUGAUCAGUUGUGUAGGUACACACAGACAGGAAUGAUCAGUUGUGUAGCGACACACAGACAGGAAUGAUCAGUUGUGUAGGUACACACAGACAGGAAUGUUCAGUUGUGUAGGUACACACAGACAGGAAUGAUCAGUUGUGUAGGUACACACAGACAGGAAUGUUCAGUUGUGUAGGUACACACAGACAGGAAUGUUCAGUUGUGUAGGUACACACAGACAGGAAUGAUCAGUUGUGUAGGUACACACAGACAGGAAUGAUCAGUUGUGUAGGUACACACAGACAGGAAUGAUCAGUUGUGUAGCUACACGCAGACAGGAAUGUUCAGUUGUGUAGCGACACGCAGACAGGAAUGUUCAGUUGUGUAGCGACACGCAGACAGGAAUGUUCAGUUGUGUAGCGACACGCAGACAGGAAUGUUCAGUUGUGUAGCGACACGCAGACAGGAAUGUUCAGUUGUGUAGCGACACGCAGACAGGAAUGUUCAGUUGUGUAGCUACACGCAGACAGGAAUGUUCAGUUGUGUAGCGACACGCAGACAGGAAUGGUCAGUUGUGUAGCUACACGCAGACAGGAAUGGUCAGUUGUGUAGCUACACGCAGACAGGAAUGUUCAGGUGUGUAGCUACACGCAGACAGGAAUGAUCAGUUGUGUAGGUACACGCAGACAGGAAUGAUCAGUUGUGUAGCUACACGCAGACAGGAAUGGUCAGUUGUGUAGCUACACGCAGACAGGCAUGGUCAGUUGUGUAGCUACACGCAGACAGGCAUGGUCAGUUGUGUAGCGACACGCAGACAGGAAUGUUCAGUUGUGUAGCUACACGCAGACAGGCAUGGUCAGUUGUGUAGGUACACGCAGACAGGAAUGUUCAGUUGUGUAGCUACACGCAGACAGGAAUGUUCAGUUGUGUAGCUACACGCAGACAGGCAUGGUCAGUUGUGUAGCUACACGCAGACAGGCAUGGUCAGUUGUGUAGCUACACGCAGACAGGAAUGUUCAGUUGUGUAGCUACACGCAGACAGGCAUGGUCAGUUGUGUAGCUACACGCAGACAGGAAUGUUCAGUUGUGUAGCUACACGCAGACAGGAAUGGUCAGUUGUGUAGCUACACGCAGACAGGCAUGGUCAGUUGUGUAGCUACACGCAGACAGGCAUGGUCAGUUGUGUAGGUACACGCAGACAGGAAUGUUCAGUUGUGUAGCUACACGCAGACAGGAAUGUUCAGUUGUGUAGCUACACGCAGACAGGCAUGGUCAGUUGUGUAGCUACACGCAGACAGGCAUGGUCAGUUGUGUAGCUACACGCAGACAGGAAUGUUCAGUUGUGUAGCUACACGCAGACAGGCAUGGUCAGUUGUGUAGCUACACGCAGACAGGAAUGUUCAGUUGUGUAGCUACACGCAGACAGGAAUGGUCAGUUGUGUAGCUACACGCAGACAGGCAUGGUCAGUUGUGUAGCUACACGCAGACAGGAAUGGUCAGUUGUGUAGCUACACGCAGACAGGCAUGGUCAGUUGUGUAGCUACACGCAGACAGGCAUGGUCAGUUGUGUAGCUACACGCAGACAGGAAUGUUGUACUGCUUCCAUACUACGUUGCUUCAUACUAAGUAGCUAGGACACUAGUGUGGAUAUUGGAUCAGAACCAAUGAUUGGGAAUGAUUUUGACACAUAAGGACACAAGUCAUCAUCAGAGACUUCAGUUUAUUUAGUGUUCCCUGGCCAGUGUAGUUCUAUCGAAUGAGAUGUAUACAUUAAAUGGUAGAGAAAGGUAUUGGCCAGGAAGCCAUUCUAGCCUACUACACUACUGUCUGUCUAAACAGUUGAUAUUUAUACACCCCUGUUCUGCUGUGUACAAGCUGCCUGGCAACCGAUGAUGAACCGUAAAAUACUUUAUGGAUUUAUUUGCUUCAAAUAUCCCUGGAUGAUGAUGUUUAAAUGUUAAUAUUAUAAAUAAAGUUAUUCAAAUGAAA